UACGUAGGGUGCGAGCGUUGUCCGGAAUUAUUGGGCGUAAAGAGCUCGUAGGCGGUCUGUCGCGUCGAUCGUGAAAACUUGGGGCUUAACCCUGAGCUUGCGGUCGAUACGGGCAUGACUGGAGUUCGGCAGGGGAGACUGGAAUUCCUGGUGUAGCGGUGAAAUGCGCAGAUAUCAGAAGGAACACCGGUGGCGAAGGCGGGUCUCUGGGCCGAUACUGACGCUGAGGAGCGAAAGCGUGGGGAGCGAACAGG
rnacentral:rRNA from 1 species